rnacentral:tRNA from 1 species
UCCACAGUGGCCUAAUGGACAAAGAACUGACCUUCGAAGCCAGGAGUUGUGGGUUCAAGUCCCACCUAGGGUA